rnacentral:lncRNA from 12 species
CAGUGGGUCCCCAGUGUCCCCAGUGGGUCCCCAGUGUCCCCAGUGGGUCCCCAGUGUCCCCAGUGGGUCCCCAGUGUCCCCAGUGGGUCCCCAGUGUCCCCAGUGGGUCCCCAGUGUCCCCAGUGGGUCCCCAGUGUCCCCAGUGGGUCCCCAGUGUCCCCAGUGGGUCCCCAGUGUCCCCAGUGGGUCCCCAGUGUCCCCAGUGGGUCCCCAGUGUCCCCAGUGGGUCCCCAGUGUCCCCAGUGGGUCCCCAGUGUCCCCAGUGGGUCCCCAGUGUCCCCAGUGGGUCCCCAGUGUCCCCAGUGGGUCCCCAGUGUCCCCAGUGGGUCCCCAGUGUCCCCAGUGGGUCCCCAGUGUCCCCAGUGGGUCCCCAGUGUCCCCAGUGGGUCCCCAGUGUCCCCAGUGGGUCCCCAGUGUCCCCAGUGGGUCCCCAGUGUCCCCAGUGGGUCCCCAGUGUCCCCAGUGGGUCCCCAGUGUCCCCAGUGGGUCCCCAGUGUCCCCAGUGGGUCCCCAGUGUCCCCAGUGGGUCCCCAGUGUCCCCAGUGGGUCCCCAGUGUCCCCAGCCCCCCGCUGCCGUUUCCUCUCCCUGCCCUGGGACGGAUUCCAGAGUUUCUCCGAAGGGUUCCCACGCCUGGAAUGUCCAAAAUCCUCCCCGGGGGAUGGAGCAGCGCUGGGCACGCUCUGCUGCUGCUGCUGGGGGUGGGAGCUGCAGCUCCCAGUGCUCCCAGUAACAGCUCCCAGUAACAGCUCCCAGUGCUCCCAGUAACAGCUCCCAGUGCCCCCAGUAACAGCUCCCAGUAACAGCUCCCAGUAACAGCUCCCAGUGCCCCCAGUAACAGCUCCCAGUAACAGCUCCCAAUGCCCCCAGUAACAGCUCCCAGUGCUCCCAGUUACAGCUCCCAGUGCCCCCAGUUACAGCUCCCAGUAACAGCUCCCAGUGCCCCCAGUAACAGCUCCCAGUUAUCCCAGGACCAGCUCCCAGUGUUCCCAGUAACAGCUCCCAGUAACAGCUCCCAGUGCCCCCAGUAACAGCUCCCAGUAACAGCUCCCAGUAACAGCUCCCAGUUAUCCCAGUAACAGCUCCCAGUAACAGCUCCCAGUGCUCCCAGUAACCCCCAGUGCCCUCAGUGGUCCCAGUGCUUCCCAGUGCUCCCAGUUCACUCCCAGUGCUCCCCGCCCUCCGAAUAUUUUAUUUAGUUAAUUAGCUUUAGGUUUUAGCUUCGAGACUUAAUUACCCUGAGAAGAAGCCCCUCCUGUAUAUUUAUGCAAGGUAGGAAAAAGCAAUUAAUCCUAAAAUAAAGUUUAAAAUAAAAUCCCUCUGGGUUUUAGGGUUUGGGGGUUUUAAGGAACUUUUUGGGUUCCUCCACUCCUCCUUUUUGGGCUGGAAAAGCUCAGCCUGAACGACAAAAAAAAAAAAUCAGUGGAAAAGGAGAAUCUGGAAAAUUAUCUCUGGACUGAGAAAUAGCCCUGGACUCAAAAAUAAGCUGGACCCCAAAAUCAGCCUCGGACCCCAAAAUCAGCCUUGGACCCUAAAAACUGCCUUGGACCCUAAAAACAGCCCUGGGCUAAAAGAGUAUCUCUGGACCCAAAAAACAAAAUGGACCCAAAAAUCAGUCUGGACCCCAAAAACAGCCCUGGACUAAAAGAGUAGCUCUGGACUAAAAUAUAGCCCUGGACUAAAGUAUAGCUCUGGACCCAAAAAUAAGCUGGACCCCAAAAUCAGCCUGGACCCAAAAAACAGCCUUGGACUAAAAAAAUAGCCUGGACCCAAAACCAGCCCUGGAUUAAAAAAUUAUCUCUGGACUAAGAAAUAGCCCUGGACUAAAAAAGUAGCUCUGGACCCCAGAACAAACUGGACCCAAAAAACAGCCCUGGACUAAAAGAAGUAGUUCUGGACUAAAAGGUAGCCCUGGACUAAAAAACAAGCUGGACCCCAAAAACCAGCCCUGGAAUGAAAAAGCUGCCUGGACCCAAAACCAGCCCUGGACUAAAAGAGUAGCUCUGGAUUAAAAAAUA